GGAAGUCGCUGCCGUCAGGGACCCUGAACGGAGAGACUGGUUGGAGCCACUGCAGAGGAAGAUAAAUUGUGAAGAUUUCAUGGACAUUUAUCACUUCCCUAAUAAUACUCUUAUAAUUUCUUAUGCCUGUCUUACUUUAAUCUCUUAAUCCUGUUAUCUUCAUAAGCUGAGGAUGUACGUCACCUCAGGACCACUGUUGUACAAAUUGAUUGUAAAACGUGUGUUUGAACAAUAUGAAAUCAGUGCACCUUGAAAAAGAACGGAAUAACAACGAUUUUAGGGAACAAGGGAAGACAACCAUAAGGUCUGACUGCCUGCGGGGUGGGGCAAAAAAAGCCAUAUUUUUCUUCUUGCAGAGAGCCUAUAAAUGGACUUGCAAGUAGGAGAGAUAUUACUAAAUUUUUUUCCUAGCAAGGAAUAUUGAUAAUCAAUACUCUGGGAAAAGAAUUGCAUUCCUGGGGGGAGGUCUAUAAACGGCUGCUCUGGGAGUGUCUGUCUUAUGUGGUUGAAAUAAGGACUCAAAUAUGCCCUGGUCCCCUGCAGUACCCUCAGGCUUAUUAGGGUGGGGAAAAAAUCCUGCCCUGGUAAAUUUGAGGUCAGACCAGUUCUCUGCUCUCGAACCCUGUUUUCUGUUGUUUAAGAUGUUUAUCAAGAGAAUACGUGCACAGCUGAACAUAAACCCUCAUCAGUAAUUCUAAUUUUGCCCUCUGCCUUGUGAUCUUUGCUUUUGUCCUUGCCCUGUUUCCUCAGAAGCAUGUGAUCUUUGUUCUCCUUUUUGCCGUUUGAAGUAUGUGAUCUUUGUGAACUACUCCCUGUUCGUACACCCCCUCCCUUUUUGAAAUCCUUAAUAAAAACUUGCUGGUUUUGCAGCUCAGGUGGACAUCACAGACCUACCAAUAUGUGAUGUCACCCCCGGCGGCCCAGUUGUAAAAUUCCU
rnacentral:lncRNA from 1 species